UACGAAGGGUGCAAACGUUGCUCGGAAUUAUUGGGCGUAAAGCGCACGUAGGCGGCUUAGCAAGUCGGAUGUGAAAUCCCUCGGCUCAACCAAGGAAGUGCAUCCGAAACUGCUGAGCUUGAGUACGAAAGAGGAUCGCGGAAUUCCCGGUGUAGAGGUGAAAUUCGUAGAUAUCGGGAGGAACACCAGUGGUGAAGGCGCUGACCUGGACGAAGAUUGACGCUGAGGUGCGAAAGCGCGGGGAGCAAACAGGG
rnacentral:rRNA from 1 species